rnacentral:rRNA from 1 species
UACGUAGGGGGCAAGCGUUGUCCGGAAUCAUUGGGCGUAAAGAGCGUGUAGGCGGCCCGGUAAGUCCGCUGUGAAAGUCGAGGGCUCAACCCUCGAAUGCCGGCGGAUACUGUCGGGCUAGAGUCCGGAAGAGGCGGAGUGGAAUUCCUGGUGUAGCGGUGAAAUGCGCAGAUAUCAGGAGGAACACCUACGGCGAAGGCAGCUCGCUGGGACGGUACUGACGCUGAGACGCGAAAGCGUGGGGAGCGAACAGG